AAUACAGGAUACUUGGUUAAAUUUAAAUUUCAGAUACACAAUGAAUAAUUUUUAGUAUAAGUAUGUCCCAUGCAAUAUUUGGAACAUACUUAUACUAAAACCUUAUUCGUGCUUUGUCUGACAUUCAAAUUUAACUGAGCAUCCUGUAUUCU
ensembl:miRNA